GAAUCCCCCAGCCUGUCCACCUAAGAACCCGGCUGGGCUACCGUGCUGUGGGCGUUCGCUUCGCUCCUCGGACACCGACAGUAGCCAAGGGGCCAGAAAGGUGCUACCAGGGUCUGGGGACUCAGGUCCGGGCCUGGGAAGCAUUUUCAUGAAGCACAGUCACAGAGGGACAGAAUGCCCUGAUGUUUGGGUUUUUCUGUCUAUGCAUUUUCUACAUGGUCUCAAAAGUCUACCAUGAAUCUCCGGCUACAAACCCUGGGAUCCAGCACCCAUUCUCAGGACUGGCAAAGGUUUCUGUGGAUCUUAAUUUAAAUCCUGUGUAGAGAGUCAGACAGAGCAGCUUUUAGAUACUAGAAGAAGGGUGCUCACAGAUCACUGCUUCCAUGGCUUCUGUGCCAUUCAUACAUCCUUGAUUGAAGCUGCUAUAUCCAGAAGAAUUAGCGGUAAGGUCCCAGAAUGUUCUGUUCUUUCUUUCUUUCUUUCUUUCUUUCUUUCUUUCUUUCUUUCUCUUCUUCUCCUCCUCCUCCUCCUCCUCCUCCUCCUCCUCC